rnacentral:rRNA from 1 species
UACGGAGGAUGCGAGCGUUAUCCGGAUUUAUUGGGUUUAAAGGGUGCGUAGGUGGGAAAGUAAGUCAGCGGUGAAAUCUUGUGGCUUAACCAUAAGCUUGCCGUUGAAACUGUUUUUCUUGAGUAUGCUUGCUGUAGGCGGAAUGCGUGUUGUAGCGGUGAAAUGCAUAGAUAUCACGCAGAACUCCGAUUGCGAAGGCAGCUUACAAAAGCAUAACUGACACUGAAGCACGAAAGCGUGGGUAUCAAACAGG